rnacentral:lncRNA from 1 species
CCUCCCUCACUUGAGCACAAUCCAAGAUGAAAGUUUCUGGGUUGUGUCCCCUUCGCUUCCUCUCACCCUCGCUCCCCCGCGGAGCCAAGGAGCCAGCAAUUGUGCAAGAGGAGACCGGCGCACAGGGCGCGUAUCACGGAGCGCAUGGUACGAGCCGCCGGCUCCGGUGAUUAAUUAUCAGUAACCGAUGGCCUCGCGCUACCACGUCGGCUUUCCCAGCAGAGCCAGCAAGCCGAACGCCUCCAGCGCGGCCGGGACGGAGGAGCGGCUCUGGGGAAGACGCCGAGGCUGCGCCCGAAGCCGGCGAAGGGAAUGCAGGGGCGGGCGCAGAGGGCUGGCUGGCAAGGAGGAGCGGAGCGGAGGAGCGAGGACCGAGCAGCACAGCCCGCCACGCACGCCGACUCCUCCAGCAACCCUCGGCGCUGGCAGCCAAGCCUGCACAGCCUCGUCUCUCUUCUCAGGUCUGAACGAAGCUGCCUCCAGCCACAUGAAGUCAGUAGGGCUGUUCUGAGGGGCCCCGAGAUUUGAUGACUGUUUUUUAGGUUGCGGAACCUACUCCGAGAGAGCAAACACUUUGGACGAAGUGAUUCAUAUUGAUAGAUACAUUUGUUGGGAGGUGGCUUUUUUCAUUCUCAACAGAAAACAAAGAAAUAAAUUAAGUCUUCCCCUGACCCAGAUUGUACUGUGAAACUUUUCAACAAUGUCUCUGCUUUCUUUUACUUCGGUAUCCUUUCCCCUUUUUCUUUUAAGACGCCCUUAGGGAAACCAUGAAGUAACCCUGCACAUUCCAGUAACACAGUUAUGACAAAACAAGAGCCUAACUAGGAAGUGACCACAUUUUAAAAAGUAUUUAGAAAGAAAAACACCAGAAACAAAAGUGCCCAUAACAAU